CCUACGGGAGGCAGCAGUGAGGAAUAUUGGUCAAUGGACGAGAGUCUGAACCAGCCAAGUAGCGUGAAGGAUGACUGCCCUAUGGGUUGUAAACUUCUUUUAUAAGGGAAUAAAACAGGGUAGGCAUACGCUCUUGUAUGGACCAUAUGAAUAAGGAUCGGCUAACGCCGUGCCAGCAGCCGCGGUAAUACGGAGGAUCCGGUCGUUAUCCGGAUUUAUUGGGUUUAAAGGGAGCGUAGGUGGAUUGUUAAGUCAGUUGUGAAAGUUUGCGGCUCAACCGUAAAAUUGCAGUUGAAACUGGCAGUCUUGAGUACAGUAGAGGUGUGCGGAAUUCGUGGUGUAGCGGU
rnacentral:rRNA from 1 species